UAAUAUAAAAGCGGCAAUUGCUGCAUAUACAAGAAAUUACAAAUUUUUCAAAAUCAAAACAUCUUCAAUGAUAACUAGAAACCAAAGAAAGUGCUGGACUUCUGAUAAAAAUGAAAUCCGUAUGUUGGUUCUGAGAAGACAACAGAGGGCUUCAAAAUAAGUUUGAACACUAAAUAACCACAAAUCAAAUAGAAAACAAAUAAGGCGAUGUUUGAAACAAAUCUUCAGUGUGUUCUUUUUUGACUUCAAAGAUGUUGACGAUAUGUUGACGACGCUGACAGUCACGGUGAGGAUGACUAUC